CAAAUGGCCCUUUUCAGGGCCACAAUUCAUAUCUAAUAAGGGAUAA
rfam:Melipona quadrifasciata isolate 0111107301 unplaced genomic scaffold scaffold86, whole genome shotgun sequence.